ensembl:snRNA LOC120095475 U1 spliceosomal RNA
ACACUUACCUAGCAGGGAAAUACCAUGAUGAUAAAGACAGUUUCCCCAAAUCUAAGUUAUAUGUUGUACUCCGAUGUCCUGAUUCCUAAGAUCUCCUUAAAUAUGGGAAACCCCACUGCAUAGAUUGUUGAAGUGGGAACUGUAUUUUCUCUCUCCCAU